rnacentral:rRNA from 1 species
AACACGGAGCUUGCUCUGUGGGAUCAGUGGCGAACGGGUGAGUAACACGUGAGCAACCUGCCCCUGACUCUGGGAUAAGCGCUGGAAACGGCGUCUAAUACUGGAUAUGUGACGUGACCGCAUGGUCUGCGUUUGGAAAGAUUUUUCGGUUGGGGAUGGGCUCGCGGCCUAUCAGCUUGUUGGUGAGGUAAUGGCUCACCAAGGCGUCGACGGGUAGCCGGCCUGAGAGGGUGACCGGCCACACUGGGACUGAGACACGGCCCAGACUCCUACGGGAGGCAGCAGUGGGGAAUAUUGCACAAUGGGCGGAAGCCUGAUGCAGCAACGCCGCGUGAGGGAUGACGGCCUUCGGGUUGUAAACCUCUUUUAGCAGGGAAGAAGCGAAAGUGACGGUACCUGCAGAAAAAGCGCCGGCUAACUACGUGCCAGCAGCCGCGGUAAUACGUAGGGCGCAAGCGUUAUCCGGAAUUAUUGGGCGUAAAGAGCUCGUAGGCGGUUUGUCGCGUCUGCUGUGAAAUCCCGAGGCUCAACCUCGGGCCUGCAGUGGGUACGGGCAGACUAGAGUGCGGUAGGGGAGAUUGGAAUUCCUGGUGUAGCGGUGGAAUGCGCAGAUAUCAGGAGGAACACCGAUGGCGAAGGCAGAUCUCUGGGCCGUAACUGACGCUGAGGAGCGAAAGGGUGGGGAGCAAACAGGCUUAGAUACCCUGGUAGUCCACCCCGUAAACGUUGGGAACUAGUUGUGGGGUCCAUUCCACGGAUUCCGUGACGCAGCUAACGCAUUAAGUUCCCCGCCUGGGGAGUACGGCCGCAAGGCUAAAACUCAAAGGAAUUGACGGGGACCCGCACAAGCGGCGGAGCAUGCGGAUUAAUUCGAUGCAACGCGAAGAACCUUACCAAGGCUUGACAUAUACGAGAACGGGCCAGAAAUGGUCAACUCUUUGGACACUCGUAAACAGGUGGUGCAUGGUUGUCGUCAGCUCGUGUCGUGAGAUGUUGGGUUAAGUCCCGCAACGAGCGCAACCCUCGUUCUAUGUUGCCAGCACGUAAUGGUGGGAACUCAUGGGAUACUGCCGGGGUCAACUCGGAGGAAGGUGGGGAUGACGUCAAAUCAUCAUGCCCCUUAUGUCUUGGGCUUCACGCAUGCUACAAUGGCCGGUACAAAGGGCUGCAAUACCGUGAGGUGGAGCGAAUCCCAAAAAGCCGGUCCCAGUUCGGAUUGAGGUCUGCAACUCGACCUCAUGAAGUCGGAGUCGCUAGUAAUCGCAGAUCAGCAACGCUGCGGUGAAUACGUUCCCGGGUCUUGUACACACCGCCCGUCAAGUCAUGAAAGUCGGUAACACCUGAAGCCGGUGGCCU